CGUAGGUGGCAAGCGUUGUCCGGAUUUAUUGGGUUUAAAGGGUGCGUAGGCGGCCUUAUAAGUCAGUGCUGAAAUAUCCCGGCUUAACCGGGAGGGUGGCAUUGAUACUGUAGGGCUUGAGUGUAGUCGAGGUAGGCGGAAUUGACGGUGUAGCGGUGAAAUGCUUAAAUAUCGUCAAGAACACUGAUAGUGUAGACAGCUUACUAGGCUACAACUGACGCUGAGGCACGAAAGUGUGGGGAUCAAACAGGAUUAGAUACCCUGGUAGUCCACACUGUAAACGUCGAUUACUCGAUGUUGGCGAUACACAGUCAGCGUCUUAGCGCAAGCGAUAAGUAAUCCACCUGGGGAGUACGCCGGCAACGGUG
rnacentral:rRNA from 1 species